GAUGAACGCUGGCGGCGUGCUUAACACAUGCAAGUCGAACGGAAAGGCCCAAGCUUGCUUGGGUACUCGAGUGGCGAACGGGUGAGUAACACGUGGGUGAUCUGCCCUGCACUUCGGGAUAAGCCUGGGAAACUGGGUCUAAUACCGGAUAGGACCACUUCUUGGAGGUUGUGGUGGAAAGUUUUUCGGUGUGGGAUGAGCUCGCGGCCUAUCAGCUUGUUGGUGGGGUAAUGGCCUACCAAGGCGUCGACGGGUAGCCGGCCUGAGAGGGUGUACGGCCACAUUGGGACUGAGAUACGGCCCAGACUCCUACGGGAGGCAGCAGUGGGGAAUAUUGCACAAUAGGCGCAAGCCUGAUGCAGCGACGCCGCGUGGGGGAUGACGGCCUUCGGGUUGUAAACUCCUUUCGCUAGGGACGAAGCUUAUUUUGUGACGGUACCUGGAGAAGAAGCACCGGCUAACUACGUG
rnacentral:rRNA from 1 species